ensembl:lncRNA
CAGAAACUGAAUUUCAAUCAAUUAUAUUUGAAUUUGAAUUGCUAAACUUGAAUAAUUGAAUUGAAAAACUGAAUUUGAAUAACAUAAUUUGAAAUUGUAUUGUUUAAUUUGAAUCAUUGCAUUGAAAAACUGAAUCUGAAUUGUAUCAUUUGAAAAUGAAUUUAUUCAAAAACUGAAUCUGAAUUGUAUCAUUUGAAAUUGAAUUUAUUCAUUUGGAACUGAAGUCCAAUAAAAUUUGAUCCUCACUGAAAAAUUAAACUCUCUAUAUAUCUUCACAUUCACUUCUCACAAUUUAGAUUCAGUUCUCAAAUUCAAUUUCAAGUUACUGAGACAGACAUCCUGGUAGUUGGAGGAUGAAAGAAGAGCAAUCGAGCACAGAUCGAUAGAUAGCGUUCAUUGGUGCACAGGAUUCCUCUUGGGCCAAUCAGCACCUACUUUUUGGAGCAUAGUACGUACCCGUCAUGAAACAAGGAAGAAGUGCUUGCCUUGCUGACUGGCUUGACCACCAUGGAUUCGGCUGGGACAAAUACAGUCUUUUCCUGCCCUUUUUGGAGCCAGUGGAAAGCGCUGGCGUGUUCAAGGGCCUUCCAACCACUUCACACCAGUCAAAGAGAUAGAAGUUACAUUUUAUCUCUUACCCAAGAUUGUUGAGCACACUCCCAAAGGCAGUGAAGAAGUUUUCCAUCUGCAAGCUGGUUUGGGACGCAGGUCCACGCUGAUACCAGGGAACUACACCCAUGAUGAGGUGAGGCAACAUUUUUUUUGUCAUAUAAUAUUUUAAUAUAGUCCACUAUCAAAACCAAUGUUCUUUUGUCAAUAUGAUGGUAUGAUUUAUAUUACUCUUGAAGGUAUGUUCAACUCUCAAAGAUCUUUGUCCAAAACUUGAAAGUGUGUCUGGGGGCUGGCUGAUUUACAAAGGAGCAGGUACCUAGAACUUACCCAUGGAAAAUCUAAUCUUGGUAUAAAAUCAUUUGAAUCAAUAUCUUGAGUGAUGAGCUUUCUGUAGAUAUAUUUAUCAUGUAUGUGAGACGCCACAAUUUUAAGUUAAUUCAUAAUCAAGAAAAAUUUCAAGUGAUCAAGAGGGCGCCUCCCUGUCCUGCAUGCGCAUUAAUAAUUUUCGCACAAACACUUGAAUAUGAAUAAUAAUUCACAUUUUGCAUAUGCAUUA